UUGCUAUCUUCGAUUUGUAAAAUUCGAACCUGCGGCAGGUUCGGUGUUGAGCGCAGCGAAACAACGGAGCCGGUUACGGCGACGGCCCGAAGGGCGAGCGAAGCGAGUCAUCCUGCACGACCCACCA
rnacentral:sRNA from 2 species